rnacentral:rRNA from 1 species
GACGAACGCUGGCGGCGUGCCUAAUACAUGCAAGUCGAGCGAAGUUUUUCUGGUGCUUGCACUAGAAAAACUUAGCGGCGAACGGGUGAGUAACACGUAAAGAACCUGCCUCAUAGACUGGGACAACUAUUGGAAACGAUAGCUAAUACCGGAUAACAGUAUUUCUCGCAUGAGAGAUAUUUAAAAGUUGGUUAUGCUAACACUAUGAGAUGGCUUUGCGGUGCAUUAGCUAGUUGGUGGGGUAAAGGCCCACCAAGGCGACGAUGCAUAGCCGACCUGAGAGGGUGAUCGGCCACACUGGGACUGAGACACGGCCCAGACUCCUACGGGAGGCAGCAGUAGGGAAUCUUCUGCAAUGGGCGAAAGCCUGACGGAGCAACGCCGCGUGAGUGAAGAAGGAUUUCGGUUCGUAAAGCUCUGUUGUUAGGGAAGAAUGGAUAUGUAGUAACUAUACAUGUAAGAGACGGUACCUAACCAGAAAGCCACGGCUAACUACGUG